GGGCGUUUAGUUUAGUGGUAUAGCGCCCGUUUCGCACUUAUAAGUGUUUAUGAGUAUUACGGGAGGUCCGGGGUUCGAUUCCCCGAACGUCCA
rnacentral:tRNA from 1 species